UACGGAGGGUGCAAGCGUUAUCCGGAAUCACUGGGCGUAAAGGGCGCGUAGGUGGUCUGUUAAGUCUGGCGUUAAAGCCUGGGGCUCAACCCCAGAUCAGCGUUGGAUACUGGCAGGCUAGACGGUUGGAGAGGCGAGUGGAAUUACCAGUGUAGCGGUGGAAUGCGUAGAUACUGGUAGGAACACCCAUUGCGAAGGCAGCUCGCUGGAUAACACGUGACACUGAGGCGCGAAAGUGUGGGGAGCAAACCGGAUUAGAUACCCCU
rnacentral:rRNA from 1 species